CUGUGGCUCCUUUAGACGUUAGCGGCGAGACGGGCUCGCAGUUAACACGUGGGUAACCUACCUAUAAGACUGGAAUAACUCCGGGAAACCGGGGCUAAUGCCGGAUAACAUUUAGAACCGCAUGGUUCUAAAGUGAAAGAUGGUUUUGCUAUCACUUAUAGAUGGACCCGCGCCGUAUUAGCUAGUUGGUAAGGUAACGGCUUACCAAGGCAACGAUACGUAGCCGACCUGAGAGGGUGAUCGGCCACACUGGAACUGAGACACGGUCCAGACUCCUACGGGAGGCAGCAGUAGGGAAUCUUCCGCAGUGGGCGAAAGCCUGACGGAGCAACGCCGCGUGAGUGAUGAAGGUCUGCACAUCGCAAAACUCUGUUAUUAGGGAAGAACAAGUGUGUAAGUCACUAUGCGCGUCUUGACGCCACCUAAUCAAAAAGCCUCGGCUAACUACGUGCCAGCAGCCGCGGUAAUACGUAGGUGGCUCGCGUUAUCCGGAAUUAUUGGGCGUGAAGCGCGCCUAGGCGGUUUCUUAAGUCUGAUGUGAAAGCCCACGGCUCGCCGUGGAGGCCAUUGGAAACUGGGAAACUUGAGUGCAGAAGAAGAAAGUGGAAUUACAUGUGUAACGGUGAAAUGCUCAUAGAUAUGGAGGAGCACCAGUGGGGAAUGCGACUUUGUGUGCUGUCACUGAUUCUGAUGUGCGACGUCGUGUACA
rnacentral:rRNA from 1 species